CCCCAACGGGAGAAGUAUAAGGGACCGAGAAAGAGAGAAAGACAGAGACAAAGAUGUAAAAUCACGCCACCGAGACCGAGACCAUGAUGGUCGUCACAGCUCUCGAAGUUCUCAUGGGCGUCAUAGGAGCAGAAGUCCCCUGGAUCGUAGUCGAGACAAGGACCGCCACAGAGACCGGGGUAGUAGAGGAAUGAAUGGACACAAUGAUCGACACAGUUCGAGUAGAAGUGAUCGUGACAGGCAUCGAGACCGGGACCGCAGGUAGACGAGGUGACUUCUGUGAUGGUCAGUGUUUACUGCGUUUCCAGGGUUUGUACUCAUUUUUAAAGGGGCAGGCGGUAAAACGGUUUAUUGUGCUUGUCGUCAGUGUUUUACUGUUGGUACUUUCGAGGCAAUCAACGCAGCCUUUGCUCCCGUUUAGGCUCACAUCUUGCAGGGUUUAA
rnacentral:lncRNA from 1 species